rnacentral:siRNA from 1 species
GAAUCCGCAGUCCGUAAUGGGCCU